GGUUGGGAUAGCUCAGCUGGUAGAGCAGAGGACUGAAAAUC
rnacentral:tRNA from 1 species